GCCGGCCUGAGAGGGCGGACGGCCACACUGGGACAGAGACACGGCCCAGACUCCUGCGGGAGGCAGCAGUGGGGAAUAUUGCACAAUGGGGGAAACCCUGAUGCAGCGACGCCGCGUGAAGGAAGAAGUAUCUCGGUACGCCAACUUCUAUCAGCAGGGAAGAAAACAGACGGUACCUGACUAAGAAGCCCCGGCUAACUACGUGCCAGCAGCCGCGGUAAUACGUAGGGGGCAAGCGUUAUCCGGAUUUACUGGGUGUAAAGGGGGCGCAGACGGCCAUGGCAAGCCCGGUGUGAAAGGCAGGGGCAUAACCCCUGGACUGCACUGGGAACUGUCAGGCUGGAGUGCCGGAGGGGUAAGCGGAAUUCCUGGUGUAGCGGUGAAAUGCGUAGA
rnacentral:rRNA from 1 species